rnacentral:rRNA from 1 species
UGAGUACGAGACGCUAAGGCGUUGAAGCAGUCUAUGCCAGACUUCCAAGAAAAGCUCGCAGUGUCAUAAACAAGAAAUGCCUGUACCAUAACCGACACAGUGGGUAGGUAGAGUAUACUAAGGGGCGCGAGAUAACUCUCUCUAAGGAACUCGGCAAAAUGACUCCGUAACUUCGGGAGAAGGAGUGCCUUAUUUUUUAUAAGGUUGCAAUAACAAGAUCCAAGCAACUGUUUACCAAAAACACAGGUCUCCGCUAAGUCGUAAGACGAUGUAUGGGGGCUGACGCCUGCCCAGUGCCAGAAGGUUAAAGAAGUUGGUUAGUUUCGGCGAAGCUGAUGACUGAAGCCCUGGUGAACGGCGGCCGUAACAAUAACGGUCCUAAGGUAGCGAAAUUCCUUGUCGGGUAAGUUCCGACCCGCACGAAAGGCGUAAUGAUUUGGAUACUGUCUCGGAGAGGGGCUCGGUGAAAUAGACUUGUCUGUGAAGAUGCGGACUACCUGCACCUGGACAGAAAGACCCUAUGAAGCUUUACUGUAACUUGAGAUUGAAAUUGGACUUUAUUUGCGCAGUAUAGGUGGGAGACGUUGAGAAUAUUCUUGCGGGAAUAUUGGAGUCAUCAGUGAGAUACCACUCUUGUAAUGUUAGAUUUCUAACUUUGUAUCAUUAUCUGGUCAAAGGACAGUUUCAGGCGGGCAGUUUGACUGGGGCGGUCGCCUCCCAAACGGUAACGGAGGCGCACAAAGGUUUCCUCUGAACGUGUAGAAAUCGUAUCUAGAGUGUAAAGGCAUAAGGAAGCUUGACUGUGAGACCUACAAGUCGAGCAGGGACGAAAGUCGGUCUUAGUGAUCUGACGGUGCUGAGUGGAAAGGCCGUCACUCAACGGAUAAAAGUUACUCUAAGGAUAACAGGCUGAUCUCCCCCAAGAGUUCACAUCGACGGGGAGGUUUGGCACCUCGAUGUCGGCUCAUCGCAUCCUGGGGCGGUAGUACGUCCCAAGGGUUGGGCUGUUCGCCCAUGAAAGCGGUACGCGAGCUGGGUUCAGAACGUCGUGAGACAGUUCGGUCCAUAUCCGGUGUAGGCGUUAGAAUAUUGAGAGGAGCCUUCUUUAGUACGAGAGGACCGAGAAGGACAUACCUCUGGUGUACCAGUUAUCGUGCCAACGGUAAACGCUGGGUAGCUAUGUAUGGAGUGGAUAACCGCUGAAAGCAUCUAAGGGGGAAGCCCACCUCAAGAUAAG